GCCGCCGGCGCGCGGCUGUGACGCAGCGCCCGCGCGCGCCCCGACGGGCCGGCUCCCUCAGGCGGGUCCCGGGCAGCCCCGGGCCGGGCUGGCAACAGCGGAGUGCCGCGUCAAACGCUACACAGGCUAAUGGUAACACAGAUGAGGAGGAGACGUACUCCACCCCUUCACAGGCACACAGCUGGCAAUGGAAGUGGCUAACUAUUUCAGCGUCUUGCCAGACUGAAUGAGAAAGUGGAGAGAUCAUGAUAUAAAAACCAGAUUACUGAAGUCAAAGUGAGACCCAGGUGAGGACUCUCAACAUUUUAUCCUUAUCAGCUGAGAAGAACUUUCAGCAGAAACUCAUUUGAACACAACAUCAAGCAUGGUUUUUCUAACACUAGAUUCUCAUGGAAGUUGAUUAUAAUUAAAGCAAUUGUGUCACUACAAUAAGGAGUUGCACUUUAUCUUUACAUUAGCACCACAAGAAUGUUAUCCUUUUGAAAGGAUAAGAUCCUAUGUCAAAAUUCAUAUAGGAUAUUUUUUAAGAAAGCAACACCAAACAACUUCACAGACUGCAGUGUCCUUGGCAAGGCCACACUGGUCUGAAAAAUGCUAAACCAAGAGGUGGAUCUACAUUCAGAAAGUAAUACAGUUUGCACCCCAACUGCAGCAGACUGAAGUUUCCUGCUAGAAGUGCACAACAGGCAAGACACAUUCCCAUGGACCUUCUAUCACACUUAUACUGUAUCAUAGCCCAUACGCUGCUAGAUCCAAAACAAUAUCCAUCCCAUGAAUCUCAGAGUACGAGGUCUUCACUUGG